rnacentral:rRNA from 1 species
GGGUUGUGAGGUUAAGCGACUAAGCGUACACGGUGGAUGCCUAGGCAGUCAGAGGCGAUGAAGGGCGUGCUAAUCUGCGAUAAGCGUCGGUAAGCUGAUAUGAAGCGUUAUACCCGACGAUACCCGAAUGGGGAAACCCAGUGUGUUUCGACACACUAUCAUUACGUGAAUACAUAGCGUAAUGAGGCGAACCGGGGGAACUGAAACAUCUCAGUACCCCGAGGAAAAGAAAUCAACCGAGAUUCCCCUAGUAGCGGCGAGCGAACGGGGAGGAGCCCAGAACCUGAAUCAGUUUGUGUAUUAGUGGAAGCGUCUGGAAAGUCGCACAGUAAAGGGUGAUAGUCCCGUACACAAAAAUGCACAAAUUGUGAGUUCGAUGAGUAGGGCGGGACACGUGACAUCCUGUCUGAAUAUGGGGGGACCAUCCUCCAAGGCUAAAUACUCCUGACUGACCGAUAGUGAACCAGUACCGUGAGGGAAAGGCGAAAAGAACCCCGGCGAGGGGAGUGAAAUAGAACCUGAAACCGUGUACGUACAAGCAGUGGGAGCCUUGAUUAAUCAGGGUGACUGCGUACCUUUUGUAUAAUGGGUCAGCGACUUAUAUUCUGUAGCAAGGUUAACCGUAUAGGGGAGCCGUAGGGAAACCGAGUCUUAACUGGGCGUUAAGUUGCAGGGUAUAGACCCGAAACCCGGUGAUCUAGCCAUGGGCAGGUUGAAGGUUGGGUAACACUAACUGGAGGACCGAACCGACUAAUGUUGAAAAAUUAGCGGAUGACUUGUGGCUGGGGGUGAAAGGCCAAUCAAACCGGGAGAUAGCUGGUUCUCCCCGAAAGCUAUUUAGGUAGCGCCUCGUGAAUUCAUCUUCGGGGGUAGAGCACUGUUUCGGCUAGGGGGUCAUCCCGACUUACCAACCCGAUGCAAACUACGAAUACCGAAGAAUGUUAUCACGGGAGACACACGGCGGGUGCUAACGUUCGUCGUGAAGAGGGAAACAACCCAGACCGCCAGCUAAGGUCCCAAAGUCAUGGUUAAGUGGGAAACGAUGUGGGAAGGCACAGACAGCCAGGAUGUUGGCUUAGAAGCAGCCAUCAUUUAAAGAAAGCGUAAUAGCUCACUGGUCGAGUCGGCCUGCGCGGAAGAUGUAACGGGGCUAAACCAUGCACCGAAGCUGCGGCAGCGACACUUAGGUGUUGUUGGGUAGGGGAGCGUUCUGUAAGCCGUCGAAGGUGACCUGUGAGGGUUGCUGGAGGUAUCAGAAGUGCGAAUGCUGACAUAAGUAACGAUAAUGCGGGUGAAAAACCCGCACGCCGGAAGACCAAGGGUUCCUGUCCAACGUUAAUCGGGGCAGGGUGAGUCGACCCCUAAGGCGAGGCUGAAAAGCGUAGUCGAUGGGAAACAGGUUAAUAUUCCUGUACUCGGUGUUACUGCGAAGGGGGGACGGAGAAAGCUAGGUUAUCCGGGCGACGGUUGUCCCGGUUUAAGCGUGAAGGUGGAUGACUUUGGUAAAUCCGGGUCGUCAUUAACACUGAGGCGUGAUGACGAGUCACUACGGUGAUGAAGUAACCAAUGCUACGCUUCCAGGAAAAGCCUCUAAGCUCCAGGUAACAUCAAAUCGUACCCCAAACCGACACAGGUGGUCAGGUAGAGAAUACUCAGGCGCUUGAGAGAACUCGGGUGAAGGAACUAGGCAAAAUGGUGCCGUAACUUCGGGAGAAGGCACGCUGAUGGUAGGUGAAGUGACUUGCUCA